CUGGUUCGUUUCUUCGCACAUCAAGCCCAUGAGGAAGGUCGCCUCCAAAAUGGUUGCCGCCCUUUUGAGCCAUGAUAAUCAAAUGCAGGAGAUAUGGAAGCAGCUUAACAAGCAUAUAUCUUUGAAGACAAGUCAGUUCAGAGCAAGUUAGGAAGAAGACCAAAGCUUUGUUAUUUCUUUGGUUCUCUUUCUUGUGAUGAUUAAAAAAAUGUAUAAUCCAUCUCUCGAACAGAAGCCCUUGCUGUAUAGGAUUUGCCCCUUAGAAUUUAUUUAUGAAAUACAGUUGAUUGUACUAAUUCAAAUCAAAGUUAAAUAUGUAAAUAAAAGAAAGGUUUCAGUGUGCAA